AUGGUUGUAGUUUAAUAAAAAUUCUAGAUUGUGAUUCUGGAGCUGGAGGUUAAAACCCCCCCAUCCAUC
rnacentral:tRNA from 1 species